rnacentral:rRNA from 1 species
GUGGGGAAUCUUCCACAAUGGACGAAAGUCUGAUGGAGCAACGCCGCGUGAGUGAAGAAGGGUUUCGGCUCGUAAAGCUCUGUUGUCGGGGACGAAUGUGCAGUAUUUGAAUAAAGUAUUGCAAUGACGGUACCUGACGAGGAAGCCACGGCUAACUACGUGCCAGCAGCCGCGGAAAUACGUAGGUGGCAAGCGUUGUACGGUAUUAUUGGGCGUCAAGGGAGCGCAGGCGGGAAGGUAAGUCGGUCUUAAAAGUGCGGGGCUCAACCCCGUGAUGGGAUCGAAACUAUCUUUCUUGAGUGCAGGAGAGGAAAGUGGAAUUCCUAGUGUAGCGGUGAAAUGCGUAGAUAUUAGGAGGAACACCAGUGGCGAAGGCGACUUUCUGGACUGUAACUGACGCUGAGGCUCGAAAGCCAGGGGAGCGAACGGGAUUAGAAACCCUGGUAGUCC